UCGCGCUGGACGUCCCGGAAUCGCAGGCGCGAAGCCCGUCGGGCCUGAGGGUCCGCGUGGCGGUAACUCCUGUCCCGCUCCUCCUCCGAAGAGAGAUCCGGGCUGCUGACAGGAGCCCUCCGCAGCCACCAGGGAUGGGGCUGGGAUCCGAUUCCCGCCCUGGUGCAGCGGCCGCCGGGCAAACCGCCUGACUUGGCAGCAGACAAGGCGACAUCUAGCCCCGGUUCUGCGAGGCUGGGAGCGCCAACCAGCUUGGGAGUUGCCAGGCAGCUGUUGCCAGCAGGACAGCGGGCUGGGAAGCCAGGGGCCGCCGGGACCUGGGGCUGGAAGCCGCAUCUGCCCACAGCCGCAGCCUCCUGCACCUGCCAUCCUGGUGGCGCCCUGGCGUCGGAGAAGCAGCAGGCGCGGAGCUCCUGCAGCUGCACCCCUGCAGCAACCCGUCCCGGCGCAGGCAGCAGUGGAAGGCGGCCUCCUCGCACGGCUCCUGCGGCCCCAGGACCAGGGGUGCGGCCAGCACCGCCCUCACCCCCCGCGUCUCGUGGACAUUAGUCCUCCCUGGAGGCGGCUGGACUUGAGCAAGGCUCGCAGCGAUCGGCCCCGCGAGGACUGGCAUCCUGGGCUCAGGGUCCCGCACGCUGGCCCUGCGGCACCGCACCUUUCAGCAGCAGCUGGAAUUCCUGCAGCAGCGCCUCAGGUGGGAUGCUGGGACCCGGGGGUCCUGGCAGGCAGAACUUCAGGGUCUUGUCUUGGCCCCUGCUCCUCUUCUUGUUGUUAAACCUUUGUCACUCUGCCACGAAAAGCAUCCAGGCGUCCUUGAUUUCGACACUGCGUGCACGCUCAGCCGAGCUCAUCGGAGGGGCGAUUCUCCCCAGGGCCCGCGGGCAGCUUGUUCCCUGGCAGCGGCUCCUCCUGGACGCAGCUCCUUGUGGGCCCACCAGGCUCAGGGGAGCCAAGGCCUGCCGCGGCUAGCAGGCCUGGAGAGAGGAAGAGUAAGGCGGGCUCUGCAGGGCAGCGGGCCGGGACCAUGAGAGAGGCAGAUCAGUCUGGGCUCCAAGCGCAGCCUCUCGGGAUUCCCCGGGACCCACGGCUUGUAAUGCGCUUAAAUCUCACGCCUCGCCAGAGUGACAGCACGUCAUCGUCACAGCUCAGCGACCCUGACCCGCUCCCACUCUCGCUGCAGCGGAGGGUGUGUAGGGGAGAAACGGACGCAGGGAGGGAAACGCCCUGGGAAGGCGAACAUCUUUUCAUAAGCUUUUCCCUUUGUAUAUGCCAUCUCUGAUGGGAGCCUUUUUAGAUCUUUUGUCCAUUUACUAAUUGGGUUGUUUGAUUUCUUAUUGUUGAGUUGUAAGUGGUUUUUAAUGGUCUGGAUGCCAGACAGGUGUUUGGCAAAUAUUUUCUCCCUGUCUGUGGCUUGUUUCUCCAUUCUCUUAAUAUUUUCUUUCCCAGAGCACGAAGUCAUAUCAAUAUCUUCUUUCUUUCUUUCUUUUCCAAUAUCUUCUUUCAUGGUAGAAAUUUGUCUUUUAUGUACUGUAGUGAUGUAUCUACAAAGUAAUUGCCAAACCCAAAGUUACCUAAAUAUCUAAUCCUUUUGUUAUUUUACAGAAGUUUUACAGCUUUUGGAUUUAAAUUUAGGUCUACAAAUUGAACUCAUAAAAGUAGGAGUAGAAUGAUGAUUACCAGAUGCUGUGUUGCUGGAGAGAAAAUGGGAAGUUGUUCACACGUGCAAAGAUUCAGUUAAGCAGGAGAAAUUCAUUUUGAAAUCUAUUGCACAGCAGUAUGACUAUAGUCAAUAAUAAUGUACUGUAUAUUUCAAAAUAACAAAAAGUAAAUUUCAAAUGUCUAACCACAGAAAAUAAAAUUGAGGUGAUGGAUAUUUUAUCCUCGAUGUAGUCAUUCCUUGUUUUAUACACAUAUCCAAGCAUCACACUGUACCCCAUAAAUGUAUGUGAUUAUGGUUUGACAAUUUCAAAUAUUAUUAACUUAAACAUGUGUCCUCUGAGUUAAUUUUUGAGGAGCAAGGUCUGUGUCUCAAUUCUUUUUUUUUUUUUGCAUAUACGUAUAUAUACAUACAUGCAAUGGAUUCAUCACUGGUUUUGAAAAAGCUACCCUUUCUCCUUUGAACUGCCUUUAACUUUUUGUAAAAGAUCAAUUGACUGUGUUUGUGGGCUCUUAUUUCUCUAUUCUGUUCCAUUGAUCACUUUGCAAGUCCUUGAACUUUGUUCCUCCCCUACAAUAUUGUUGGCUAUUCUGGUUAGUUUGUCUUUCUAUAUAAACUUUAGAAUUGGUUUGUCAAUUUCCACACAAUAAUUUGUUCAUGUUUUCACCAGAGUUGUAUUGAAUUUAUAAAUCACAUUGAAGAGAACUGACAUCUUAA
ensembl:lncRNA